AUUGAACGCUGGCGGCAGGCCUAACACAUGCAAGUCGGGCGGAGCGGCGGACGGGUGAGUAAUGCCUAGGAAUCUGCCUGGUAGUGGGGGAUAACGUCCGGAAACGGGCGCUAAUACCGCAUACUAUCAGAUGAGCCUAGGUCGGAUUAGCUAGUUGGUGGGGUAAAGGCCUACCAAGGCGACGAUCCGUAACUGGUCUGCGAGGAUGAUCAGUCACAGGUGAACUGAGACACGGGCCAGACUCCUACGGGAGGCAGCAGUGGGGAAUAUUGGACAAUGGGCGAAAGCCUGAUCGAGCCAUGCCGCGUGUGUGAAGAAGGUUUUCGGAUUGUAAAGCACUUUUAGUUGGGAGGCGUUACAAAAAGAGUAAGCACCGGCUAACUUCGUGCCAGCAGCCGCGGUAAUAC
rnacentral:rRNA from 1 species